rnacentral:lncRNA from 1 species
UCAAACUGCAUGAUUCUGAUGAUUAUUGUUUCAAGAGAAUACAAAUCAUAAUUGUUUUACACGUAAUUUAUUUGAAGAUAACUAAAAACUGAAAAAGAAUCAGUCAUAACUUCAUAAUUUUUUUUUGAAGAAGGUCAUAACUUCAUAAUUAUCAUACAAGAUUGUCAGAAUACACAUAGACUUAGAAUUUGAGCUGAACCUAACUCAACCACAAGAUGGGGUCCUCCCGGCACCCACAUUUAAAAAGAAGGGUCGACGGUUUUGGCCCAAAAGGUAGCUCAAGGGGUGAGAAUUGCCCAAUCCUUAUAUGGAUAACUUUGGCCCUACCUAUAGACGAUGCAGAAUAAGGUAGUUCAAAUCCAGAUCCUGCCUAGGAAUGAGAAGGGGUCUCAAAAUUGUAAUUGUUUUCAAAAGUAUUUUUGAAAGUAAGAUAACUUAUUUCGAUAUGAAAUUUCUCUAAACUUUAACUCCAAAUUUAAUAUUGCAUUUCUUAAACCAUCCCUAAAAUUCUUGUGGAAAGGAAUUCAUUGCCUUUUUAGAAAUAUCUCUGCACUCCACUUUAAUGGAUGUUCUGAAUAUAUAAUCACGAGAUAAAAAGGAAGUAAUAAAGAAUAAACAGUUUUUUCAUGAAAUAGAUAUAAUAGUUCUUGUAUGCAUAAGUCA